rnacentral:rRNA from 1 species
AAUAGAUACCCGGGUAGUCCACGCCGUAAACGAUGGAUACUAGCUGUUGGGGGGCGACCUCAGGUGGCUAAGCGAAAGUGAUAAGUAUCCCACCUGGGGAGUACGUUCGCAAGAAUGAAACUCAAAGGAAUUGACGGGGGCCCGCACAAGCGGUGGAGCAUGUGGUUUAAUUCGAUGAUACGCGAGGAACCUUACCAAGGCUUAAAUGCAGACUGACCGUUUUGGAAACAGAACUUUCGCAAGACAGUCUACAAGGUGCUGCAUGGUUGUCGUCAGCUCGUGCCGUGAGGUGUCAGGUUAAGUCCUAUAACGAGCGCAACCCCUGUUGUUAGUUGCCAGCGAGUAGUGUCGGGAACUCUAACAAGACUGCCAGUGCAAACUGUGAGGAAGGUGGGGAUGACGUCAAAUCAUCACGGCCCUUACGCCUUGGGCUACACACGUGCUACAAUGGCCGGUACAGAGAGCAGCCACCUCGCGAGGGGGGAGCGAAUCUACAAAGCCGGUCACAGUUCGGAUCAGAGUCUGCAACUCG